GAUCAUGCUCAGGAUGAACGCUAGCGACAGGCCUAACACAUGCAAGUCGAGGGGCAGCGGGGAGGUAGCAAUACCUUUGCCGGCGACCGGCGCACGGGUGAGUAACACGUAUGCAAUCCACCUGUAACAGGGGGAUAACCCGGAGAAAUCCGGACUAAUACCCCAUAAUAUGGGCGCUCCGCAUGGAGAGUCCAUUAAAGAGAGCAAUCUUGGUUACAGACGAGCAUGCGCU
rnacentral:rRNA from 1 species